GUUAUUGCGAGUGGAAGAGUUCUGGAAAGUUCUACCACAGAGGGUAAUAGUCCCGUACACAAAGCCAAGAAGACUCUUGAUAUGAUCCAGAGUACCACGAGACACGUGAAACCUUGUGGGAAGCAGGGGGGACCACCCCCCAAGGCUAAAUACUACCUAGUGACCGAUAGCGUAUAGUACCGUGAGGGAAAGGUGAAAAGAACCCCGGGAGGGGAGUGAAAUAGAACCUGAAACCCUGCACUUACAAUCUGUGGGAGCGCAUUAUUGGCGUGACCGCGUACUUUUUGUAGAACGGGCCAACGAGUUACGUUAUGUGGCAAGGUUAAGCACUUAAGGUGUGGAGCCGUAGCGAAAGCGAGUCUUAACUGGGCGACAUAGUCACAUGACGUAGACCCGAAACCGGGCGACCUACCCAUGAGCAGGAUGAAGCGAAAGUAAAAUUUCGUGGAGGUCCGAACCCACGUACGUUGAAAAGUGCGGGGAUGACUUGUGGGUAGCGGUGAAAUUCCAAUCGAGCUCGGAGAUAGCUGGUUCUCCUCGAAAUAGCUUUAGGGCUAGCCUUGAAUGUAGAGAUGUGGAGGUAGAGCACUGAAUGUCCUAGGGGGUAUUGCACUUACCGAAGACUAUCAAACUCCGAAUGCCAUAAUCUUUUAUUCAGGAGUCAGACUAUGGGUGAUAAGGUUCAUAGUCGAAAGGGAAAGAGCCCAGACCGUCAGCUAAGGUCCCUAAAUGUAUGUUAAGUGGUAAAGGAUGUGGGAUUGCAUAGACAACCAGGAUGUUGGCUUAGAAGCAGCCAUUCAUUUAAAGAGUGCGUAAUAGCUCACUGGUCGAGUGAUCCUGCGCCGAAGAUUUCCGGGGCUAAAACAUACUACCGAAGCUACGGCAUCGAAAGAUGGGUAGAGGAGCUUCCCAUGCAGGAUGAAGCAGUACCGUAAGGAGCUGUGGACAGUAUGGGAGAGAGAAUGUUGGCAUGAGUAGCGAGAUGAAGGUGAGAAUCCUUCAGGCCGUAAACCCAAGGUUUCCAGGGGAAGGUUCGUCCUCCCUGGGUUAGUCGG
rnacentral:rRNA from 1 species